UUGAACGCUGGCGGCAGGCCUAACACAUGCAAGUCGAACGGUAACAGGAAGCAGCUUGCUGCUUCGCUGACGAGUGGCGGACGGGUGAGUAAUGUCUGGGAAACUGCCUGAUGGAGGGGGAUAACUACUGGAAACGGUAGCUAAUACCGCAUAACGUCGCAAGACCAAAGAGGGGGACCUUCGGGCCUCUUGCCAUCGGAUGUGCCCAGAUGGGAUUAGCUAGUAGGUGGGGUAACGGCUCACCUAGGCGACGAUCCCUAGCUGGUCUGAGAGGAUGACCAGCCACACUGGAACUGAGACACGGUCCAGACUCCUACGGGAGGCAGCAGUGGGGAAUAUUGCACAAUGGGCGCAAGCCUGAUGCAGCCAUGCCGCGUGUAUGAAGAAGGCCUUCGGGUUGUAAAGUACUUUCAGCGGGGAGGAAGGGAGUAAAGUUAAUACCUUUACUCAUUGACGUUACCCGCAGAAGAAGCACCGGCUAACUCCGUGCCAGCAGCCGCGGUAAUACGGAGGGUGCAAGCGUUAAUCGGAAUUACUGGGCGUAAAGCGCACGCAGGCGGUUUGUUAAGUCAGAUGUGAAAUCCCCGGGCUCAACCUGGGAACUGCAUCUGAUACUGGCAAGCUUGAGUCUCGUAGAGGGGGGUAGAAUUCCAGGUGUAGCGGUGAAAUGCGUAGAGAUCUGGAGGAAUACCGGUGGCGAAGGCGGCCCCCUGGACGAAGACUGACGCUCAGGUGCGAAAGCGUGGGGAGCAAACAGGAUUAGAUACCCUGGUAGUCCACGCCGUAAACGAUGUCGACUUGGAGGUUGUGCCCUUGAGGCGUGGCUUCCGGAGCUAACGCGUUAAGUCGACCGCCUGGGGAGUACGGCCGCAAGGUUAAAACUCAAAUGAAUUGACGGGGGCCCGCACAAGCGGUGGAGCAUGUGGUUUAAUUCGAUGCAACGCGAAGAACCUUACCUGGUCUUGACAUCCACGGAAGUUUUCAGAGAUGAGAAUGUGCCUUCGGGAACCGUGAGACAGGUGCUGCAUGGCUGUCGUCAGCUCGUGUUGUGAAAUGUUGGGUUAAGUCCCGCAACGAGCGCAACCCUUAUCCUUUGUUGCCAGCGGUCCGGCCGGGAACUCAAAGGAGACUGCCAGUGAUAAACUGGAGGAAGGUGGGGAUGACGUCAAAUCAUCAUGCCCCUUAUGACCUGGGCUACACACGUGCUACAAUGGCGCAUACAAAGAGAAGCGACCUCGCGAGAGCAAGCGGACCUCAUAAAGUGCGUCGUAGUCCGGAUUGGAGUCUGCAACUCGACUCCAUGAAGUCGGAAUCGCUAGUAAUCGUGGAUCAGAAUGCCACGGUGAAUACGUUCCCGGGCCUUGUACACACCGCCCGUCACACCAUGGGAGUGGGUUGCAAAAGAAGUAGGUAGCUUAACCUUCGGGAGGGCGCUUACCACUUUGUGAUUCAUGACUGGGGUG
rnacentral:rRNA from 1 species